UACGGAGGAUCCGAGCGUUAUCCGGAUUUAUUGGGUUUAAAGGGAGCGUAGGCGGGUGCUUAAGUCAGUUGUGAAAGUUUGCGGCUCAACCGUAAAAUUGCAGUUGAUACUGGGCGCCUUGAGUGCAGCAUAGGUAGGCGGAAUUCGUGGUGUAGCGGUGAAAUGCUUAGAUAUCACGAAGAACUCCAAUUGCGAAGGCAGCUCACUGGGGUACAACUGACACUGAGGCUCGAAAGUGUGGGUAUCAAACAGG
rnacentral:rRNA from 1 species